rnacentral:tRNA from 1 species
GGGGGCGUAGCUCAGUUGGGAGAGUGUCUGACUGGCAGUCAGAAGGUCGAGAGUUCGAAUCUCUUCGUCUCCACCA